GUUUUUGUAGUUGAACUACAACGAUGGUUCUUCAAAUCAUUGGUCUCGGUUAGAGUCCGAGCAAAAAUU
rnacentral:tRNA from 1 species